rnacentral:rRNA from 1 species
UCUGNUCUGUCACUGACGCUGAGGCUCGAAAGCGUGGGUAGCGAACAGGAUUAGAUACCCUGGUAGUNCACGCCGUAAACGAUGAGUGCUAGGUGUUAGGCCCUUUCCGGGGCUUAGUGCCGGAGCUAACGCAAUAAGCACUCCGCCUGGGGAGUACGACCGCAAGGUUGAAACUCAAAGGAAUUGACGGGGGCCCGCACAAGCGGUGGAGCAUGUGGUUUAAUUCGAAGCAACGCGAAGAACCUUACCAGGUCUUGACAUCCCGAUGCUAUUCUUAGAGAUAGGAAGUUACUUCGGUACAUCGGAGACAGGUGGUGCAUGGUUGUCGUCAGCUCGUGUCGUGAGAUGUUGGGUUAANNNNNNCAACGAGCGCAACCCUUAUUGUUAGUUGCCAUCAUUAAGUUGGGCACUCUAGCGAGACUGCCGGUAAUAAACCGGAGGAAGGUGGGGAUGACGUCAAAUCAUCAUGCCCCUUAUGACCUGGGCUACACACGUGCUACAAUGGUCGGUACAACGAGUUGCGAGCCGGUGACGGCAAGCUAAUCUCUGAAAGCCGAUCUCAGUUCGGAUUGGAGGCUGCAACUCGCCUCCAUGAAGUCGGAAUCGCUAGUAAUCGCGGAUCAGCACGCCGCGGUGAAUACGUUCCCGGGCCU